rnacentral:rRNA from 1 species
CAUACAGCUCAGUAACACGUGGCUAACCUGCCCUUGGGACGGGAAUACCCCCGGGAAACUGGGGCUAAUUCUCGAUAGGCGAAGAACUCUGGAAUGAGUCUUCACUUAAAAGAUGCUAGAGUUAUGCUCUUUGGCGACGCCCAAGGAUGGGGCCGCGGCCGAUCAGGUUGUUGGUGAGGUAAUGGCUCACCAAGCCUUUUACCGGUGCGGGCCGUGGGAGCGGGAGCCCGGAGAUGGGCACUGAGACAAGGGCCCAGGUCCUACGGGGCGCAGCAGUCGCGAAAACUUUGCAAUAAGCGAAAGCUUGACAGGGCUAUCCCGAGUGCCAUCCGCUGAGGAAGGCUUUUACCCAGUCUAGAACGCUGGGGGAAUAAGGAGAGGGCAAGUCUGGUGUCAGCCGCCGCGGUAAUACCAGCUCUCCGAGUGGUGUGGAUGUUUAGUGGGCCAAA